rnacentral:rRNA from 1 species
GAUGAACGCUGGCGGCGUGCCUAAUACAUGCAAGUCGAGCGAACAGACGAGGAGCUUGCUCCUCUGACGUUAGCGGCGGACGGGUGAGUAACACGUGGAUAACCUACCUAUAAGACUGGGAUAACUUCGGGAAACCGGAGCUAAUACCGGAGAAUAUAUUGAACCGCAUGGUUCAAUAGUGAAAGACGGGUUUGCUGUCACUUAUAGAUGGAUCCGCGCCGCAUUAGCUAGUUGGUAAGGUAACGGCUUACGAAGGCAACGAUGCGUAGCCGACCUGAGAGGGUGAUCGGCCACACUGGAACUGAGACACGGUCCAGACUCCUACGGGAGGCAGCAGUAGGGAAUCUUCCGCAAUGGGCGAAAGCCUGACGGAGCAACGCCGCGGGAGUGAUGAAGGUCUUCGGAUCGUAAAACUCUGUUAUUAGGGAAGAACAAAUGUGUAAGUAACUAUGCACGUCUUGACGGUACCUAAUCAGAAAGCCACGGCUAACUACGUG